GGAACGACACGCCGUUGCCAGAGCGGGGACGUGCUCCUACGAGGGAGGACCUUUCUCCUGUGCGGCGGAGGCAGCGGCGCGACACGCCCUCACCUGUGCAUGGCGAUGCUGCUGCAAAGGAUUUUUCACCACCUAGGCGGCCCUCACCUGUGCAUGGUGAUGCUGCUGCAAAGGAUUUUUCACCACCUAGGCGGAGGCAGCGGCGCAACACGCCCUCACCUGUGCAUGGCGAUGCUGCUGCAAAGGAUUUUUCACCACCUAGGCGGAGGCAGCGGCGCGACACGCCCUCACCUGUGCCGGACGGUGCUGCUGCAAAGGAUUUUUCACCACCUAGGCGGAGGCAGAGGCGUCAGGACACGCCAUCACCAAAGGACAGUGGUGCAGCGGACCAGGACGAUAUGUCACCACCGCGGAAGUCUAGGC
rnacentral:lncRNA from 1 species